rnacentral:tRNA from 1 species
GCCCCGGUAGCUCAGUGGAUAGAGCAACGGUUUCCUAAACCGUGUGUCGCGGGUUCGAGUCCCGCCCGGGGCCCCA